CUAUACACCCUAGGGUAAAAAGGUAUGUGUCUAUACACCCUAGGGGAAGAAGUAUGUGUCUAUACACCCUAGGGGGAAAAAGGAUGUGUCUAUACACCCUAGGGAAAAAUUAUGUGUCUAUACACCCUAGGGGAAGAAGUAUGUGUCUAUACACCCUAGGGGAAAAGUAUGUGUCUAUACACCCUAGGGGAAAAAGUAUGCGUCUAUACACCCUAGGGGAAAAAGAAUGUGUCUAUACACCCUAGGGGAAAAAGUAUGUGUCUAUAAAAAGACACUUUUAAAUAGCAUCUUUUGAGCUAUUCUUUCAGAUGAAUUCAUCAGAUCUUAGAAUUUAAAAUUUAGGAAUAGUUUAGUAAAUUCACUGGUUGAAAAUGCUCAAUUUUAUAGUCCAAAAUUGGGAGUCUCCCUCAGAAUAUAGAGAAAUUGGCAAGUUUAUAAUUGUUAGUGUUUUUUUAGUAUCUGUACCAUACUGACAUUUUACACACAUGUACAAAUACAUCAUACAUGUUAUACAUGUGUGUGUACUUUCUAAGAGAAGCAUUUGUUUAUAUGACCAAUUAUUCAAUGGUGUGAUCUUGUUAAAGGUGUGUUGUAGCCCUGUUGGGUGACAUAGCAACCUUUGAUUUACAUAUCAGAGCGACAUGAUUAUACAUAUGGUUCAGGGUGACAUAAACUAUGCCUGCUGUUGAUCAUUUAAAAUGUUAAUACUGAAUGUAUUUUGAAUUCCUCUUACUAUCAUGUGUUAAUGGUAGUUACACAUAUUAGAUAUAAAAUCACUUACCCAGGCCCUCUUUGGUAUUUACACAGUGACAUAUUGGAUUUAUCCUCCCAAACAGUUACUUUUUCUUUAAUAUGAAGUUUUCGGAUCAAUUUCUCUGUACGGAUUUCAAGAGAAGCCUAAUGAUUUGAUUAAGUUGAUGUUCAGUAGUUUUAUGUACUUACUGAUGUAUGAGCUUUAAUUAACUAACAGUGCUUGUUAAUUAAUAUCAAUAAUUGUACAUCUAUUCUUUGUCAUUUACCUGUGAAUUAUUGUUAAUUAUACUUAUCCCUUAUUAAUGUAUUUAAUUAUUUGUGAUUGUUCUUGAUUUUCAUGUUUAUCAACUUUUAGUGGUUUAUAGAUAUGCAUUUUAUUAAGUGCUUGUUAAUGUAGCUGUUGAUUUUAACCGGUUCCAAUUUUAUAAAAUGAAUUAGUAUAUUGUAAACAAUACCUUCCUGAUUUUAUGGAAAUUAAUUAUUUUUUAUAGAAUUAUAGAAUAACUGAUUUAUCUAAUUAUGCCAUUAAUUGUACAUAUUUUUGUGUGUAAUGUGUUAUUUUUAAUGUGUCGGACCAGAAUCCAAACAGAUUGUGAGACCAACGCAUUCAAGCCAAAUCGAUGGCUCGGCUAGUCAUGAAAUCAUAGAGAAACCAACGUUAGAUAUACAAACAUGUAUCUCGAUCUCUAUUGUUUUUUAUACUGAACUUUCUAAAAUGAACCCUUCAUAACUUAGAUUUAACAAAAAUAAGAUAAUAUCAGACCUGCCACAAGGUCUGAUGGUUAUUUUUCUAUGGAACCUAGUGUAUUCUCUAAAGUUCUCUAGGUGACGGUGUGCAGAAUUCAUCUCCAGUUAAAUUGUUCCUUGUUCACCCUAGGUUGUUAACAUUCUCCUAUAUGUGUCCCUAUAAACUGAAAUCCUGUAUGUACUUGUCCCAGUGUUUUGGUUUUGACAGGUGAUGGUGUGCAGAACAGACUGUAAAAGUUCUCCUAUAUGUGUCCAUAUUAAAUGUUCCUCGGCCUGUCACUGUCGCCUUAUACAUCCCCAUUUCUGUUAUAUCUAAUGUAACAAGCCCUAUCCAGCCUCGGACCACGCUCCAUGUAACUUAACUAUUGAGCAAGUCUGGGGGUUCUACCACAUCACAGGGAAAUCGUAACUUCACUAGUACAUCUUUCACAAUGUUCUAGAAAGAAUACAUGUACUGAUGUGAAGAGCAUUGACAUUAAGGAAUAAAGUCAUUUUAACUGAU